rnacentral:rRNA from 1 species
UACGUAGGGUGCGAGCGUUGUCCGGAAUACUGGGCGUAAAGCGUGCGCAGGCGGUUGUGCAAGACAGAUGUGAAAUCCCCGGGCUCAACCUGGGAACUGCAUUUGUGACUGCACAGCUUGAGUGCGGCAGAGGGGGAUGGAAUUCCGCGUGUAGCAGUGAAAUGCGUAGAUAUGCGGAGGAACACCGAUGGCGAAGGCAA